UGCCCCAGGGCUGAGUUGGUUACAGCGUCCGACUGUUACAUAAGUGUUGCAUAUACACAAUCGGAAGGUCGAGAGUUCGAGCCUCUCUGGGGCAG